rnacentral:rRNA from 1 species
UACCACUUUGUGGUUCAUGACUUGGGGGUGAAGUCCGUAACAAGGUUAGCGCUAAGGGGGAACCUGGCGCUGGAAUCACCUCCUUAAACGAUGAU